rnacentral:misc_RNA from 1 species
UCCGGCUUGUCACCGGCAGUUCCUUCAGAGUGCCCGGCCCUACCCGAUGGCAACUGAAGGCGAGGGUUGCGCUCGUUGUGGGACUUAACCCAACAUCUCACGACACGAGCUGACGACAGCCAUGCAGCACCUGUGCACGGACUCCAAAGAGGGACCGAUGUUUCCACCGGCUUUCCCGUGCAUGUCAAGCCCAGGUAAGGUUCUUCGCGUUGCUUCGAAUUAAACCACAUCAUCCACCGCUUGUGCGGGCCCCCGUCAAUUCCUUUGAGUUUCAGCCUUGCGGCCGUACUCCCCAGGCGGGGCACUUGAUGCGUUAGCGCCGGCACCCAGGGGGUCGCUCCCCCAGGCACCUAGUGCCCAUCGUUUACGGCGUGGACUAC